CCUACGGGUGGCUGCAGUGGGGAAUAUUGCACAAUGGGGGAAACCCUGAUGCAGCGACGCCGCGUGAGUGAAGAAGUAUCUCGGUACGUAAAGCUCUAUCAGCAGGGAAGAAAAUGACGGUGAUUGACUAAGAAGCACCGGCUAACUACGUGCCAGCAGCCGCGGGAAUACGAAGGGGGCAAGCGUUAUCCGGAUUGACUGGGUGUAAAGGGAGCGUCGACGGCAGCACAAGUCUGGUGUGAAAGCCGGGGGCUUAACCCCGGAACUGCUUUGGAAACUGUGCGGCUGGAGUGCAGGAGGGGUAAGCGGAAUUCCUAGUGUAGCGGUGAAAUGCGUAGAUAUUAGGAGGAACACCGGUGGCGAAGGCGGCUUACUGGACUGUAACUGACGUUGAGGCUCGAAAGCGUGGGGAGCAAACAGGAUUAGAUACCCUUGUAGUC
rnacentral:rRNA from 1 species